UGACUGGAAGGAGUGGAGCCAGGCUCCACCCCUCCUAGACCACAUUUGAGGGCUGACUGCUACUGGGGUUCUUUUUCUAGAGUUCCCUUCUUUGUGGAGUCUUUCCUGAAGCAUGUUUAAUCCUCAAAAGAGAGGAGAAAAGGGAAAUGGAUGUCAAAAGAUGAAGUUGCACCUUCCAGAAAGCUUUGCAUAGGAAGAGGAAACUAAUAAUUGGAAUGUUGAACUUUAAAGUGUUGAUGCUGCUUAGACAUAAUCUUAUAUUUUCAUCUAACUCUUUGUCUUUGGAAGCAUAAAAUUCUUGAGUUUUAGAGUGUUGUGUUUUUUUAGUAAAAAAAUGUAAUUAUACAUCAAUCACGUAACAGGAAAGAGUAGAUGUAAUAUAUUUCUCUGCGUAGAGUCCUAACUUUUGAAGUAUGAAAGUACAGUGUGUGCAGGGGGGAAUGAAAAGGACAGAUGGAGAACCAACUACAGAAAGAAGAAUGAAAGAGAUCAUACACAAGAGUGAGGAUUUGCAGUGCCUUAUUAGCAACUAUUACUUAGGUCGCUCUGAAGGUAGUAUUUCCUAUUUACUUCCAUGGGAACUACUACUACAAAGAGCUCAGUAACACUAUUUGAAGCACAAUCUCAGCUACAAAACACUAGUUAUCAACAUAGUCUUAAGUAAUACUAAAAGAUUAACAUUAAUCCAGGUAAAGAUAGGAAUAUCACAGUUUACAUCUAUUUAUUUAGGUUCAGAUUUCAGUCUAGGUAUUUUGUACAUAUUUCUUUGCCUUCAAACUCACUUGGGUUGUUCCUUGGUGUAUAUAAAUGCCAAUGCACAUGCUUUGGUUUUCAGAACAAACAAAAAGGAUACGAACAAUGCUGUUACUUUGCUAAGUAAUUUAAUAGUACUGUUUGUGUUUGGUUUCCUGGGCAUGAAGAAUGCUAUUUAUUUAAUAGUUGUUCUAUAUUCCAAGCUAAGUUUGUAAGAGGAUUUCCCUGUUUGCAAGGCUGGAACAAACAGAUUCUCACUAGAUAAUUGAUUAACAAGUUCAGUUGACAAUAUUUCAAAAGAAACAUUUACCACUGUAUGUUCUGACAAGUGCUAAGUCUUUACUGGUAUGGUUUGCCUAACUAAAAGUAAUCUGCAAGAAUUAGAAAUGUGAUUUUUUUUUUUUUUUUUUCUACAAUUAUGGUGAAGCUCUAGAGAAUAUGUUCAAAUGAAGGGCUAACUGUUC